GACAGACUCUCUGGGUUCAGGUAACAGGGGAACAGGGGAAGCCACUGGGGGAUUUUCACCCCUUCAAAGAUGUGAUCCACCAAACUGUUGCCAAGGGAGACAUGGAAUGGGCAAAGGGCAUGGAAACCCUUUAAUGUCUGUCAGUCUUUACUAGAGAGGUGGAUGUUGUGUUGCCAUGGUAUCAUCAUGUUGAAGAUAGAUACACAUUCCACUUCCCAGAAUACCAUGUCCUUUUCAGAGUGAACACCUCCAUCUUCCUCUCUUACCUUCAACCUAGAGACCGGCUGUUCUCCUGAGUUGAAGCUGACUGUUCUCUGUUCUCCUGAGUUGAGACUGACUGUUCUCCUGGGCUGAGGCUGGCUGUUCUCCUGGGUUGAGGCUGGCUGUUCUCCUGGGCUGAGGCUGGCUGUUCUCCUGGGUUGAGGCUGGCUGUUCUCCUGGGUUGAGGCUGGCUGUUCUCUGUUCUCCUGGGUUGAGGCUGGCUGCUCUCCUGGGUUGAGGCUGGCUGCUCUCCUGGGUUGAGGCUGGCUGUUCUCCUGGGCUGUGGCUGGCUGUUCUCUGUUCUCCUGGGUUGAGACUGGCUGCUCUCCUGGGCUAAGCCUGGCUGUUCUCCUGGGUUGAGGCUGGCUGUUCUCCUGGGUUGAGGCUGGCUGUUCUCUGUUCUCCUGGGUUGAGGCUGGCUGUUCUCCUGGGUUGAGGCUGGCUGUUCUCCUGAGUUGAGACUGGCGGUUCUCUGUUCUCCUGAGUUGAGACUGGCUGUUCUCUGUUCUCCUGAGUUGAAGCUGACUGUUCUCUGUUCUCCUGAGUUGAGGCUGACUGUUCUCCUGGGCUGAGGCUGGCUGUUCUCCUGGGUUGAGACUGGCUGUUCUCUGUUCUCCUGGGUUGAGGCUGGCUGUUCUCUGUUCUCCUGAGUUGAAGCUGACUGUUCUCUGUUCUCCUGAGUUGAGGCUGACUGCUCUCCUGGGUUGAGGCUGGCUGUUCUCCUGGGCUGAGACUGGCUGUUCUCUGUUCUCCUGGGUUGAGGCUGGCUGCUCUCCUGGGCUGAGCCUGGCUGUUCUCCUGGGUUGAGGCUGGCUGUUCUCCUGGGUUGAGGCUGGCUGUUUUCUGUUCUCCUGAGUUGAAGCUGACUGUUCUCCUGGGCUGAGGCUGGCUGUUCUCCUGGGCUGAGGCUGGCUGUUCUCCUGAGUUGAGACUGACUGUUCUCUGUUCUCCUGAGUUGAGAAUGACUGUUCUCCUGGGCUGAGGCUGGCUGUUCUCCUGGGCUGAGGCUGGCUGUUCUCCUGGGCUGAGGCUGGCUGUUCUCCUGGGUUGAGGCUGACUGUUCUCCUGGGCUGAGGCUGGCUGUUCUCCUGGGCUGAGGCUGGCUGUUCUCCUGGGUUGAGGCUGGCUGUUCUCCUGGGCUGAGGCUGGCUGUUCUCCUGGGUUGAGGCUGACUGUUCUCCUGGGCUGAGGCUGACUGUUCUCCUGGGUUGAGGCUGGCUGUUCUCCUGGGUUGAGGCUGGCUGUUCUCCUGGGCUGAGGCUGACUGUUCUCCUGGGCUGAGGCUGACUGUUCUCCUGGGCUGAGGCUGACUGUUCUCCUGGGCUGAGGCUGACUGUUCUCCUGGGCUGAGGCUGAC
rnacentral:lncRNA from 1 species